AUCCAUCUGACGAGUCCCGAACAGGAUGAAAUGUGUGUCCUGGAU
rnacentral:hammerhead_ribozyme from 1 species